UAGUUGAGUUGAGUUGAGUUGACUAGGAGAUUUGCAAUUAUAAUAAUAUCCUCCAUGUUGAGAACCACUAAACUAUAUUAUACUGCAGAGGGCUUAGAGCUUUUAGUGUGAGUGCCUCAUCUGAAUGUGAGCUAUAAACUCAACGAGAACACGAUUGAGAGAUAUACAAAAAGAUACAGCUACCAUCAAUGGAGAGAAAGGACUGACAAGGUUAAUCCAAGUAUCCCAUUCGACCAUUUAGAAUUAACACUAUCAAAAUUUCAAGCAAUUUGCUUUUGCACUCUAUUAAGAAAACUAUCAUGCAAAUCUUUCUUUUCUUUUUUAGAAAAGAGGUGGGGGGGUUGGAGGAGGGG
rnacentral:misc_RNA from 1 species